CAGCAGUUCUUUCUGCGGCCACACCUUGGGCUAAAGGCAGACAAGAAAUGACGGAUAUUAAUUGCUGAUCAGUUCAGCUGCAGACUGCGGGAUUCGUGCCGACGUUCGCCCCCGUCAGGUGUGAAAUAUCAGCGGAGAGAAAUAAUUAACACAACGGCAGAGCGUCGUAGGACCGAGGGGCUUUCUGCAGAACGGGAGUGGUGUUUUCAGGGCGCUCCGCUCACCGGUUCCACAGUUGCAGUGAAGGAACACUGAAGAAUGAUGCUCCAGGGUUACCCCGAUCGCAGCUGAAGGAAUCAAUAUAACUUGUCUGAACAUGAAAGCGGAGCGUCGUCAACGUUUUGGGCACAUUCGUAAUGAAAACGCAGCUGGUGAUGAUGGAGACAGAAGGGAUGAUCAAACCAAAGGUUUGCCAAUAUUUGUCAACACUUUUCCUAAUUACUGUCCAGAAGCAACUUCAAGCUGAACGUAAACACGACUGGCACUGGAGGAAAUGAGCUAAGGUCCAAAUCCAGCUGCCUGGAGUAGCAGUCGGCCAACCUAAAAUGCUGCACAACAGCAGAUAAGUUGCCACCAUUCCCUCUGAGGAGACAGAGGGAAUGGUGUUUUUAGAAGUAUUCAGGGACAACUCGUACAUUGGAUUGUCUGUAUAUGAAAAACAACUCCAAAGUAUAAAUUAUUUUCAUGCUCAAAUAUCAAUGCAAUCCCAUUGAAAGAAAUCGUGAAUGGUCAGUAUUAUGUACAUGCAACUUCUUUGUGGCUUUACAUCAUGUUAUAAUGUGAUUCCCUCAUCAAAAACCUACCUGGAGUGUUGCCUUGAUUCUUUCAUGCAUGUUUGAGAAAUCCUUUAAUCGCCAUGGCAACCAUUCAGCUGUGCAAAAUACCUGGUUGGACCUACCCCCGCCUUCAAGCACAAAAUUCCUCCUUGGAGUUGCAUUUUCCAAGCUUCUGAGCUUAAACUCCUCCAGUCAGCUCCUUCAGACUAGCCAGAAAGAAUUAGCAAACACCUGGUGGAAAUGCACUUUAGGUGAACUCGUUAUAGGAGCCACUUCUCAGAGCAAUGCUGGUAAAAAUUUUGUUAAAGGGUAACUAGAGGAGAUAUGUUGUGAUUACUUCCUGUAGGUGGAGUCUUUGAAAAAGUAGGAGUUUCUUAAAGAAACAGAGGUCAAAUUUCAAGGAGUUUUAUUUAAGUCACAUUUCAUCUACAACAUUUUGAAGGUACUUUGUUGAUUAUGCUAUAAAAUGUCACUAUGGUCCUGGAAAAUACAUAAUAAUAUUCUCUUUAAAAAACUGAGUAUUUUCAGGUGUUUUGUCAUUUAUCCAGCAAUUAGCUGCACCUGAUUGUUCUUCAUUAAUUCAAAAGAUUAAACCACAUCACCAAAUCACUUUGAAGGUACUAAACGUAAUAAAAUCAAACCUAUGGGGAAGUGAAAGUGACCAACUAAACAAAUAUGCACAUUUUUAAACUUUAGCAGGACGUCAGUAUCCUGAGAUAAAACCUUACAAGCCCAAAAGAUGCUAACACAGCACUUUGCUGGGAUUUCAGAAUAACGUGCAGCCAUUGAAGUGAGGCAAGAAAUGAAGAGAUGUAGAGUAUUUCAGUUCAGAUGUGAAUAAUGAACAGAGGCAGUAUGAGCUGAAAGAGACAAAGGAGGUAAAAAUACAGAUAUGGAGUAUGUAUGAAUAACCCUCUUUUUUUAUUUUACAUUCAGCGCAAUCUACCAGACACAAGAAUUUGGGUCAGAACACUUUGAAAAAGUGUGGCUAACCGAACUCCUGGCUUUCAGGAACAUCCAGGCUGAAAAUAGUCCAGCUGAAAGACGAAGUAAAUCAAUAAUGUGGGAACUCGCGCCACAUGAAACGUAUGUCGUCCUGGAAGCAAUUCCAUCCGCAUCCAGAGCCAGCUUCUGGAGAUGAAGGAAGGUCGUUACGCUGAGGCCGCUAGCUGUCAAUGCUGUGAUGCAUAUGGGCUAAUGUAUGGAAAGUAGAAGCUGUGUGUAACCGCCUUCAUUAUCUGAAGUUGAACGGGAAGUUGCCAUAUGUACGGCGGAGCAGCAAAUUGGUGGGGGAAAAGGAGGCGGAAGAUAAAAAUCCAUGCACACAAUGAUACGUCUCGGGGGAAGCAAAGGCUUUUAGCUCCUUCUCUUUAGCUGUCGUUUAAGUGGAAAUGUAUUGGCACCAAUCCAAACUUUUAACUCCAAUUUUACUAACUUGAAAGAAGCCUGGGACGUCAGCACUGUUGUUUUUUCCUGCUUAAACUGGAGCCAGUUUCUAAAAGGGAUGACUUGGCAGUUUCAGUAAGCAACCAAUUUGUCUGCUGCAGGAGUUGUUGCUGCGCGGGUUCACAGAACAGAGCCAUAAUGAUUCCGGGUUCCAGACAGCAACAUUCGGGGAUCUUCGGAGGAUUUUAAAAGUCGAGGUUUUACACAGUUAACGGGGACGGCGAGGACGGGUUUCCUAUGGCUGCAAACGCGCCGCAUCAGCAGAAAAGACGGGCUGUUUAGCACAUCUUGCAAACUCAGCUGGAGAAUCGUAGGAAUCUCUUAUUAGAUGACCCAAUUCAGCAUCCAGUAGUCUUUAAAGGGGCAUUCACACCAGCCAUGCUGAGUCAAACUCUAGUUUGUUUGUCUAAAAAGUCCGGUUCAUUUGGGGAGGUGUGAAUGCAUUGUCAAACUUUGGUUGGACCAAUCUCUGGUCCACCUAAAAACCUAAGUUCUGGUUUGGUUGAAGUGAACUCUGGUGCGGUCAGAAUGCAUAUGCGAAUGUAAGUGGACCAGAGUCCGCUCCAAAAGCAGGAAGUGGACAAUGGUGCAUAGCAUUCUGGGUAAGUACACCCAAAACAAAUGUAUGAGUUUAGCACUAGAGGGAGAAAUGACUCGUGCUCUUCAGUCAAAGACAACAGAGAAAUCCUACAACCGUUAAAAUCAGUCACCACUCCAUUUGGGUUUGGUUAGUUUGACACAGAAAAUGUAACAAAUGUUCCAGUUCUGGUCCCCAAUCAAACUGAAUCUACCGGACUAACAGGUGUGAAAACACCGCAAGAUUGAGGUUAUUUUUGUGAACUAAAAAUUUUUAGAUUUCUUUGUUUUUGUGGCACUUCACCAGAAUUUUGUGAAAUUUACCCCACGACACACUACAGGCAAAGUAGUGUGUGGUCAUAGUACGUAAGUGAUAUCAAAAAUAUUCAUCACGUUACUUAAAACUUAUAAGAAAUAAACUUUAAUUGCCUCCCUGACACGUUUCCAGAAAGGUGUGCAGCUGAAAGGAUCCAGUGGCUGGCAGAGCCACACACAAACACCAGCAGAGAGACAGGCAGUCAUUACUCCUACAGCGCCGGUGAUCAACACUAAUUAUCGUCUUUGACCAGGGGAGGACCGUCUUCCAAUAUGUCCCUCACCGAUGACAGUUCAUUACUCACCAGCAGCUAAGACCAAAGGGGGCCCAGCUGUCAGGAAUUAGAGCAGAAAUCUGCUUCUGAAACUUUACUACCUGAAGAACGUCAAAAA